rnacentral:piRNA from 1 species
UGUCAACCAAUAGAGGCAUCGGGUUGAUUC